AGUUGCCUUUCAGGUGUGGCAGGAAUCCGGAGCAUCCGGGGGAAACCAACUCGGUCACAGGGAGAACGUACAUACUCCACGCAGAGAGCACUGGAGAUCAGGACAAGCAUUUAAGAUGCUGCCUGACCCAUUGAGUUCCUCCAGCACCUUGCCCACUCUUGUGGGUCUGGAGUCAGAUAUAGACCAGACCAGUCAUGAAGGCUGUACCUACCUUCCCCCAAGGACAGCAGUGAACCAGGUAGCUACAUCUUCUCCCAGCUGUCCACAGAUCCAAAGUCUCUCCUCCCUGGAAACAUUCAAGUAAAUCUCCUCCACACCUUCCCCAAGGCCUUAAUAUCCUCCCUUACAACUGGUGCCCAGAACUAGACACGAAUUGAAGCCAGUGACUCAGAAAGAUUUAUUUAAACUGGAAGA